UGUGGUUCGAAAUCAGAGGGAAGAGAGAGAGUUUUCUAACUCUCUCAACUCCCUCAAUCGGGGAAGAGAAAGGUCAUCGCCGCCGGUGGCGUUCACGGCGACCCACGGUGACCGGAGAAAGGCAACCACCCAAAAAAUUUUCUCUCCUCACCUUCAACUUGAAACCCAAACUAUUUUAGCCUAAAACUCCCUUUAAACCCCCUAGAUAUAAGUUUUACCUUCCGAAUACUCGAAGUUUCCGACGACCUUUAGGAUUCCGGCUUCUUGCACUAAGGGUUGAUAGUUGGUGAUAAUAGUGAACUCUCCUGAGUAGGGGCAUGGUUCUCUGAUCUUGAUGACGAUGGGGCGGUUGAAAUGGCGGUCGGAUCGUCGGGAACGGGCCGGAACAGUGGUGGUGGUGCGGCUGGAUUAGGGUUUAAAAACCCUAAUUAUUCUAGGUUGCUGAGUUAGGCCCGGGUCGAGUCUGGAUCGGGUAUGGAUCCUGGGUCAGGUCUGAAUUCUCUUGUAGUGGGUUGUUGGGCUUCAGGUUGAUGUUAUGGUUGGGCUUAUAUGUUGGGCUUCGUUUGUAAACUGGGCUCAGGGUGAGGGCCUGCAAAAAUUAUUAAAAAUAAUAAUAAUAAUAUUUUUUAAGA